rnacentral:snoRNA from 1 species
AAACCAUGAUAAGGACACUCUAAGAUGAGGUCUUUAAAACGUUCCAUGCAUCGAGAAAAUGAUUCAUUGGGUUGUUGGUGAAAUUGGAGAAUGUUGUUCCUAAGUUU